rnacentral:lncRNA from 1 species
CUAUUGAAGGUUGUAAUGGUUGGACAGAUGUAUUGAGAAGUCACAUUCAGCAAAGGGCAGAAAGCCAAAAACGGAAACAAUAUUGCAACGGCGAUGGCGAUGGCGAUGGCGAUGGUGAUGAGUAGUGAGGCAACGAUGACAGAGAAGUUGCGUGCUUCUGCACUUCUGCAUGGUUCUGCAAUUCUACGUUUUUACUCACCUUCUGUUUUCUAAUUUAGGUUUUUGGGAAUUUAGAUUCUAGUAUUUUUUUUAAUUUGCGGUUGGAUCGGUUUAUUUAACUAACCUGGUUUGACUGAAUUUCACACAGUGAAAAACGAUUGGAAGGGAGGAGAGGUUAU